rnacentral:rRNA from 1 species
ACGCUCGACACCUACGGAGGCAGCAGUAGGGAAUCUUCCACAAUGGGCGCAAGCCUGAUGGAGCAACACCGCGUGAGUGAAGAAGGGUUUCGGCUCGUAAAGCUCUGUUGUUGGAGAAGAACGUGCGUGAGAGUAACUGUUCACGCAGUGACGGUAUCCAACCAGAAAGUCACGGCUAACUACGUACCAGCAGCCGCGGUAAUCUGAGCGGGCUGGCAAGGC